rnacentral:misc_RNA from 1 species
GGAGAAUUUAGUAAUUUAUAGUCCACUAUGGUGGGGAAAUUUCAGCUUUGCAUCGGAAAAACAAUUAGAUUUUGUGAUAAAAAUGGAUUGAUUUAUGUUUAAAGUUGAGCUGUUAGAAACAUUUCUGAAACUAAAAAUGCUGAUUAUACAAUUUGUUGUGUGACCGUUUUGUCUAUUCAUUUUGGCACCAAACUUCUUUUUCUCUGUCUUAUUCUAGGAUUUUGAAGUUUAUUUUGCUUAUGUAAUUCUAUGUAAUUUUUUAUAAUUUGUGAAUGCAAAAUAGUAAAGAAAACUUCUUCAACUUUUUUCACAUGUUAGAAAAUUUUAAUUGUUA